rnacentral:rRNA from 1 species
GGACCCGACUGCUAUCGGAUUGGGACUAAGCCAUGCGAGUCAACUCCGCAAGGGGUGGCGCACGGCUCAGUAACACGUAGUCAACCUACCCUAGGGACGGGGAUAACCUCGGGAAACUGAGGCUAAACCCCGAUAGGCUAUAGCCUCUGGAAUGAGCUAUAGCUGAAAUCUAUAUGGCCCUAGGAUGGGACUGCGGCCGAUCAGGUAGUUGGUGGGGUAAUGGCCCACCAAGCCUAUAACCGGUGCGGGCUCUGAGAGGAGGAGCCCGGAGAUGGGCACUGAGACAAGGGCCCAGGUCCUACGGGGCGCAGCAGGCGCGAUG